CUUCUAUCUGCACAGUCUUAGUGUUCAGCUUCAUCAUGGCUGGACGCCUGCUGCUUGUCAUCCUCAUUUAUUCUUUUCUCGAGAGUUAUGCACAAGCUCUAAAACCUGAGAUGAGUCUUCAGCAUUUUCCUGGUAAAGAUGUUAUCAUGACCUGCACUCUGCCUGGAUCUGCUAAUAAAGAUACGAGAUGUAACCUUUACUUUGGAGAAGAAAGGGAUCCAUUUCAAACAACCAUCUUGAAGCAA